rnacentral:rRNA from 1 species
UACAGCGGUCUCAAGCGUUGUUCGGAUUUACUGGGCGUAAAGGGCGCGUAGGCGGUCGUGACAAGUCACUUGUGAAAUCUCCGGGCUUAACUCGGAACGGUCAAGUGAUACUGUCGGACUAGAGUACAGAAGGGGCAACUGGAAUUCUCGGUGUAGCGGUGAAAUGCGUAGAUAUCGAGAGGAACACCUGCGGCGAAGGCGGGUUGCUGGGCUGAUACUGACGCUGAGGCGCGAAAGCCAGGGGAGCGAACGGG